rnacentral:rRNA from 1 species
UACGGAGGAGGCAAGCGUUAUCCGGAAUUACUGGGCGUAAAGGGCGCGUAGGCGGGAUGGCAAGUCGGUCGUGAAAUCCCUCGGCUCAACCGAGGAACGUCGAUCGAUACUGCUGUUCUUGAGGAUUGCAGAGGAGACUGGAAUUCCCGGUGUAGCGGUGAAAUGUGUAGAGAUCGGGAGGAACACCGGUGGCGAAGGCGGGUCUCUGGGCAAUUCCUGACGCUGAGGCGCGAAAGCGUGGGGAGCAAACGGG